CCCUUAGAUGUUCUGGGCCGCACGCGCGCUACACCGAUGAACGCAACGAGACCACCUGUACCGAAAGGCAUGGGUAAACUUGUGAAAGUUCAUCGUGAUGGGGAUAGAUUAUUGCAAUUAUUAAUCUUCAACGAGGAAUUCCUAGUAAGCGCGAGUCAUCAGCUCGCGUUGAUUACGUCCCUGCCCUUUGUACACACCGCCCGUCGCUCCUACCGAUUGAAUGGUCCGGUGAAAUCUUCGGAUUGCUGGAUAGGACUUCAUUGACCUAUCUGCGAGAAGUUGCUUGAACCUUAUCAUUUAGAGGAAGGAGAANUCGUANCA
rnacentral:rRNA from 1 species